AAUUGAUGGAGACAGCAGGUGACUCAGGAUUUCCACUUUUACUCAACAAUAAGCAUCCUGUUAGUUUUUUAGAAGAUGAACUAACACAAUAUUUGCUUCUUUGUUGAGUAAACUACAUAUUCUUUUCAAAACAGGCGUGAUUCUAUUUUCCUACUGUGUCCUAUGUAUUUAUUGACUUGAUUUCAACCCAUAUACAAGGAAGCGGAGUUCCACAAUCAUAAAAGGAAUGGUGUUAACUAACUGAAGCAAAAGAACAUGAACAGAAGAACUGG